rnacentral:misc_RNA from 1 species
UCGAAUGAACUCGAACGGGGCUGUUGCUGGCCUUCUCCUAGGCAUGUGCACGCUCGUCGUCUUUAUGUCCUUUCCAUCUGUGCACGUGUUGUAGAUCUGGAAGAUUGAUUCGUCGUGUCGAUUGAGGAUUGCUCCGGCUUUGCCUCGCGCUUUCAGAUCUAUGUCUGCUUCAUGAUCGCCCUGUGUGUUUUAGAAUGUGAAGUUGAAUAAAUAUAA